AGGCUUCAGCUGAGAGGGCGUGGAAAGUGUCUGUGCCCGACUGCUUCCUGGACCUGAGGCAGGGAGUCUUGUUCUCCAGGGUACUGAAACAAAGAUGUUCUUCUCAGAAAACUCAAUAAGCUCAGGGUAGAUUGGGGACCAGGCUGAAGGUACCGAGCGACAAGUGACAUCUCUGUGUAAAUAGUGGGACUGCAUUCUUCCUUUCCUGUUCCCAGAACCUCAAGAUUCUGAAGAGAAAAUACAUCCAACGGUUUGAGGUUUUGAGAUCCUCAGGUGAAGGAACCAGACAUCCCCUCCCGGAUUCUAAAGCAACAAUGGGGAUCACUGCACAUCUUUCCAACUCCAGUAGAUCUCUGACUCCCUCGGCAGCUUCACUAACACACCCUCACAAGAGGUUCUCCUUCUUCGUCUCGUUGUUCUGGCUCACAUCACAAAUAAACUUCCUGCACUAAAACCAAA
rnacentral:lncRNA from 1 species